AGCGCAGUGGCCGAGUGGUAAGGCGUCGGUCUCGUAAACCAAAGAUCACGAGUUCGAACCUCGACUGUGCCU